UACAGAGGGUGCAAGCGUUGUUCGGAAUUAUUGGGCGUAAAGAGCUCGUAGGCGGUUUGUCGCGUCUGCCGUGAAAACCUAAGGCUCAACCUUGGGCUUGCAGUGGGUACGGGCAGACUAGAGUGCGGUAGGGGUGACUGGAAUCCUGGUGUAGCGGUGGAAUGCGCAGAUAUCAGGAGGAACACCGAUGGCGAAGGCAGGUCACUGGCCGCAACUGACGCUGAGGAGCGAAAGCAUGGGGAGCGAACAGG
rnacentral:rRNA from 1 species